GGAUAUGAGGGCGAUCUGGCUGCGACAUCUGUCACCCCAUUGAUCGCCAGGGUUGAUUCGGCUGAUCUGGCUGGCUAGGCGGAUGUCCCCUUCCUCCCUCACCACUCCAUGUGCGUCCCUCCCGAAGCUGCGCGCUUGGUCGAAGAGGACGGCCUUCCCCGAAUAGAGACGGACCGGUCUUCGGUCGACGGUAUACGAGUAGCUGCGCUCCCCUGCUAGAACCUCCAAACAAGCUCUCAAGAAUGGGAGCUAUUUUCUGCUCUAAUUGGACUUUCCAGCCCUUUUU
rnacentral:snRNA from 1 species